CGUAAUACAUAUCAAUCUGCCAUGGGAAAGCAAGCUAUGGGAAUUUAAGUCACUAACUAUCAGUUCUGAAUGGGUACACUGGCUCAUGUUCAGUACUACCCUCAGAAGCCGCUUGUCAUUACACGAGCCAUGGAGCAUCUUCACUUCAGGCAACUUCCAGCUGGAAUUGGUUUGUGACAUGGUUCUUAUGAUAAAUUGGAUGAUGAUGGUCUUGCACCUCCUGGUGAGGAUGUUAUCAUAAGGAAGACCACUCUCAUUGCUCCUAAGGAGGCUCAGCAGCAAGCUUCUUCGUGUUACUCACGACGUGACCAUUGUAUAAGCUUAUGGCAUAGUGAAACCGGGAUUAUGGACCAGGGCAAAGUUUGUGUGAGCUUUAAGUUUCACAUCAGUUUUUGGAUAUGAGCAGUUUCAAGGUUACCUGAACUUGUGAUUGAAGAUAUUGGGAAUCAGAUUAAGCAACUGCAAACCUACAAGGUAUAGCUGCACCAGCUCCAGGACAGGCACAUCUUUUACUUCCUGCUAAUUCUCCUCAAUUCACCAGCAGUUCUGAUAAAACUGCAGGAUAAGUGGUAAAUCAGAAAGGUCACAUCUUGAGGUAGAGAUCAUCCCUGUGUUUAUUGCAUAUAUGUGCAUUAUAUUAUGGUUUUAUAUUAGUCUUUAUGGAGCAUGCAGGUAAUCCUUAGAUUUCAGCAGGACUAAGAGAAGCUACUGCUACUUAAGUAGCAGGUUCUAAGUCUAACCUUGUUCAAAGUUUGUUAGUACUGAUGGCAGUACAGGCAGCAAGGUCUCA
rnacentral:lncRNA from 1 species